rnacentral:lncRNA from 1 species
AUUGCCCCGUUUCGGCUAAUCCCCGUGCCAGGCCCGCCAACCUCCACCCGCGGCCCAGCUCUCCACCGACGGCCCAAGGUCCUGUGGUGAACUGCUGCCCCUAUUCCUUGCCAUGGCGUUAGAUUUUUAUGUUGCGCCGCCCCUGCUUCGGUCCAGUCCAGAGGAUUUGGCCGGCGUUGUGAAUUUUCCCAUGUAGCGAUUUUAUUGAUUAACAUGUGAG